GAUGAACGCUAGCGACAGGCUUAACACAUGCAAGUCGAGGGGUAGAAGGCUUCGGCCUUUGAGACCGGCGCACGGGUGCGAAACGCGUAUACAAUCUACCUAUUACAGGGGGAUAGCCCAGAGAAAUUUGGAUUAAUACCCCAUAGUAUUAUAGAGUGGCAUCAUUUUAUAAUUAAAGUUGAGGCGGUAAUAGAUGAGUAUGCGUCCUAUUAGCUAGUUGGUGAGGUAACGGCUCACCAAGGCUACGAUAGGUAGGGGUCCUGAGAGGGAGAUCCCCCACACUGGUACUGAGACACGGACCAGACUCCUACGGGAGGCAGCAGUGAGGAAUAUUGGUCAAUGGACGCAAGUCUGAACCAGCCAUGUCGCGUGCAGGAAGACGGCCUUAUGGGUUGUAAAGCUCUUUUACCAGGGAUGAUAAUGACAGUACCUGGAGAAUAAGCUCCGGCUAACUCCGUGCCAGCAGCCGCGGUAAU
rnacentral:rRNA from 1 species